UCGUCGUUUACGCUUUUGUAACCGAGAGACGAUCAAACGACACACGACUCCAUCACUCUGCAAUCAAUCCUUCCGAGCUCUAAUCUAUGGAUUCUUUUCGCCUUUCUCCCUCAAAGUUUAUUUAUACCACUCUGAUUUUUCACAACUUCUUAAUCUCCCUUUCCAUCCUCGAAAAAAAAAACCAGACCAUGAAUCCCGACAACAAAAGCCCUGUUUCCGGCGACCUUAUGUCGAAGAAAGCAGCUUCCGCCGGCCCGAUCAAACCUACUGUCGAAUCCGGUGUCUCUUCAGCCAACUCUGUCUCUGUCUUUCCUGUUGCGGAGAAACCAAACGGCAAGUCCGUUGUGUGUUUCGAUGUGCCUAUCAAACGUCGGGGUGGAACCGGUGUCCCCUCCGCAAAAACUGCUCAAGUCGUAUUCUUUAGAGAUGUCAAGUUCUGUUUUGUUCAAGAAACAGAACCGAGCUGUCCUUGAGAGGAGAGAGGACAGAGUUCCAUGAGAAAGUGAUGGUAAGAAUCAAAAGUCUGGGAGAGGGCAGCUUUAGAAGCUAAGAAUCAAAAAGUUUUAUCAGUCUUUGUAUACCAAGCAACGAUAUGAGAUUGGGACCAGUGUGGUUAAAGUUGAAAGGUGCACCUGAAGAAGUAAAAAAAAAAUAAUAGGGAGAAGAUAAAGCUGUUGAAGCGAAAGACUACUGGCCUUUGGUUUAUUGAACUGAAGAACAAUGAAAUUACAACUGAGAAAGUUUGUGAGGGAUACUCUUCUUUUGUUUGUUUUUUUAAAGAAAAGUAGUUCUCUUAAUAUUCAUGUUUUUGUUUCCCAUAAUUCUAGGUAACUGAGGUGGUGGUCUCAAGUACCUUAACGAUAUCAACUAGAACAGGGUUGAAGAGCCAAAAGGGUUCAAGCUUGAGUUUUUCUUUGUUCAGAACCCUUACUUCAAGAACACUGUCUUGACCAAGACAUAUCAGAUCGAUCAAGGAGUAAGCUGAGUGUUAAAGGAGAUUAAAAAUAUCACUGGGCGAUUAGAUUCCACCAUAGAGGAAAUCAGAGUCCCAUCCCCAUCUUCAAAGUGCAAGUUACCGGAUAGGCAAGAGAGGGGAGCGAGGAUCUGAAAGCUCCGGAUAUUUUUAUUCAUCUAUUUCUUUUCUAUUGAGAAGUAAGAACAUCACCAAUUAUCUUUUUGAGGGCUUAGUUGUCUAACUAUAGUCUUCAUGUUUUUCAUCAGGAUCACUGGUUUGUUAGUCCAUUUAUAAAUGUGUAUGAGCUGCUGCAUAGCACACCAACAAUGUCGGAGGAACAUAAGUUUUUUAAAGUUCUUCCUUUUUGAUUGCUUUGAUACAUCUGCUAGCAAAUUGUCA